CCUACGGGUGGCAGCAGUCGAGAAUCAUUCACAAUGGGGGAAACCCUGAUGGUGCGACGCCGCGUGGGGGAAUGAAGGUCUUCGGAUUGUAAACCCCUGUCAUGUGGGAGCAAAUUAAAAAGAUAGUACCACAAGAGGAAGAGCCGGCUAACUCUGUGCCAGCAGCCGCGGUACUACAGAGGUCUUAAGCGUUGUUCGGAAUCACUGGGCGUAAAGCGUGCGUAGGCUGUUUCGUAAGUCGUGUGUGAAAGGCGCGGGCUCAACCCGCGGACGGCACAUGAUACUGCGAGACUAGAGUAAUGGAGGGGGAACCGGAAUUCUCGGUGUAGCAGUGAAAUGCGUAGAUAUCGAGAGGAACACUCGUGGCGAAGGCGGGUUCCUGGACAGUAACUGACGCUGAGGCACGAAGGCCAGGGGAGCGAAAGGGAUUAGAUACCCCAGUAGUC
rnacentral:rRNA from 1 species